GUUAUGAUUUUGAAGAAUGUGUGGAGGGAUAUUUUUUUUUUUUUUUUUUUGAUAAUCCAGGGUUCCUCACUUACAUGGAUCAUUCCCUGGGCCCGGUUAGGCAGCGGUCCACUUCACCCGGGAGGGCUUAAACCUGGGCUGGGGACAAGGCCCAACACCCAGUACCACAUUUGAUGACAGGAUGGGCAGUUCCCCUCCGCCUGGCGUCGAACCCGGGAGCAUGACAAUUGGCCCCCAAGGUCUUUACCAAACGAGCUAC
rnacentral:lncRNA from 1 species